UACGGAGGGUGCGAGCGUUGUCCGGAAUCAUUGGGCGUAAAGGGCGCGUAGGUGGCGCGGUCAGUUCGUGGUGAAAGCGCGGGGCUCAACCCCGCGUCGGCCAUGAAUACUGCUGGGCUGGAGCACUGUAGAGGCAGGCGGAAUUCCGGGUGUAGCGGUGGAAUGCGUAGAGAUGGGGGAGAACACUCGUGGCGAAGGCAGGUCUCUGGGCCACUACUGACGCUGAGGAGCGAAAGCGUGGGGAGCGAACAGG
rnacentral:rRNA from 1 species